CCAGCGAUUCCGACUUCAUGGAGUCGAGUUGCAGACUCCAAUCCGGACUACGACGUACUUUAUGAGGUCCGCUUGCUCUCGCGAGGUCGCUUCUCUUUGUAUACGCCAUUGUAGCACGUGUGUAGCCCUACUCGUAAGGGCCAUGAUGACUUGACGUCAUCCCCACCUUCCUCCAGUUUAUCACUGGCAGUCUCCUUUGAGUUCCCGGCCGAACCGCUGGCAACAAAGGAUAAGGGUUGCGCUCGUUGCGGGACUUAACCCAACAUUUCACAACACGAGCUGACGACAGCCAUGCAGCACCUGUCUCAGAGUUCCCGAAGGCACCAAUCCAUCUCUGGAAAGUUCUCUGGAUGUCAAGAGUAGGUAAGGUUCUUCGCGUUGCAUCGAAUUAAACAACAUGCUCCACCGCUUGUGCGGGCCCCGUCAAUUCAUUUGAGUUUAAACCUUGCGGCCGUACUCCCCAGGCGGUCGAUUUAACGCGUUAGCUCCGGAAGCCACGCCUCAAGGGCAAACCUCCAAUCGACUCCGUUUUAAGCGGGAACUACAGGGAAUCUAAAUCUUGUUUGUCCCCACCCUUUGCACCGGAGCGU
rnacentral:rRNA from 1 species